GUGGAUUCCACCUUGAAACUCUCAUUGGCCAUUGGACUGUCAUCUCCUGAGGAGGGUUCAACAGUAUAUAACACAGCAGAAAAGAGAGCUAUCCCAACAUCCAUCACAUCUCAGCUCAAUCAGACCAGAUUUUUGAACUGAAAUACAUCUCUGAUUUUGGAAUGAUGGGGCCCCUAAUCACUGUCUUCUUCCUGCUGUUGUUUUCAGGGACCACAGUUCUUGGACAGAAACCUCAUAGUGCCCCGAAACCAGGAAAACAGUGUGAUUCUCUGGUAUACAAGGACAAAGCACAAUCAAAAGGCACACCCUUUUUCACAAACAAAGCCUACUUCAAUGAAAAACUCAUCUACC